rnacentral:rRNA from 1 species
GACGAACGCUGGCGGCGUGCCUAAUACAUGCAAGUCGAGCGGACUGAAUGGGAGCUUGCUCUUGUUCGGUCAGCGGCGGACGGGUGAGUAACACGUGGGCAACCUGCCCGCAAGACCGGGAUAACUCCGGGAAACCGGAGCUAAUACCGGAUAACACCGAAGACCGCAUGGUCUUUGGGUGAAAGGCGGCGCAAGCUGCCACUUGCGGAUGGGCCCGCGGCGCGUUAGAUAGGUGGAGAGGUAACGGCACACCAAGGGGAAGAUGCGUAGCCGGCCUGAAACGGAGCACGGCCACCCUGGGACUGAGACCCGGCCCAGACGCCUACGGGGGGCCGCCGUAGGGCAUCUUCCGCUAUGGGCGGAAGCCCGACGGAGCGGCGCCGGCUGGGCGAAGAAGGCCCUCGGGUCGUAAAGCUCUGUUGUGUGGGACGAAGGAGCGCCGUUUGAAGAAGGCGGCGCGGUGACGGUACCUCACGAGGAAGCCCCGGCUAACUACGUG